UACGGGGGAUGCAAGCGUUAUUCGGAAUUAUUGGGCGUAAAGGGCGCGUAGGCGGUUUUAAAAGUCAGGUGUGAAAGCCCGUGGCUUAACCACGGAAGAGCAUUUGAAACUAUAAGACUUGAGUACGGUAGAGGAAAGCGGAAUUCCUGGUGUAGAGGUGAAAUUCGUAGAUAUCAGGAGGAACACCGGUGGCGAAGGCGGCUUUCUGGGCCUGUACUGACGCUGAGGCGCGAAGGCGUGGGUAGCGAACAGG
rnacentral:rRNA from 1 species